ACACGACUACAUUAGAUACCCGCGUAGUCCUAGCCGUAAACGAUACUCGCUAGGUGUCGGCCACGGUGCGACCGUUGUCGGUGCCGUAGGGAAGCUGUGAAGCGAGCCACCUGGGAAGUACGGCCGCAAGGCUGAAACUUAAAGGAAUUGGCGGGGGAGCACAACAACGGGUGGAGCUUGCGGUUUAAUUGGAUUCAACGCCGGACAACUCACCAGGAGCGACGGUUACAUGAAGGCCAGGCUGAUGACCUUGCCUGAUUUUCCG
rnacentral:rRNA from 1 species